AAAAUCGUUCUGGAAAUGAGUUUACUCACAGGGUACUUUCUUUGUAUACAUGCGACUAUACGUGCCAAGCCCGGGAUUUACGGGAAAUCGCGGGUUUUAGUUUGCCGGCGAUUAAACUGCUUUUAUUCAGCGUCUCAUCAAAAAUGAAAACAUUCUUGAAAACUACAAGUCUCAUGCGUUUUAGUGGUGAAAAAAAAAUUUAAAAAAUCGUUCGGGAAAUGAGUUUACUCCCUGGGUACUUUCUUUGUAUACUUUUGACUAUACGGGCCGAGUCCGGGAUUUACGGGAAAUCGCGGAUUUUCGUUUGCCGGUGAUUAAACUUCUUUUAUUCAGCGUCCCAUCAAAUAUGAAAAUAUUUUUGAAAACUACAAGUCUCAUGCGUUUAGUGGUGAAAAAAUAAUUUAAAAAAUCGUCCUGGAAAUGAGUUUACUCACAGGGUACUUUCUUUGUAUACAUGCGACUAUACGUGCCAAUCCCGGGAUUUACGGGAAAUCGCGGGUUUUAGUUUGCCGGCGAUUUAACUGCUUCUAUUCAGCGUCUCAUCAAAAAUGAAAACAUUCUUGAAAACUACAAGUCUCAUGCGUUUUAGUGGUGAAAAAAUAAUUUAAAAAAUCGUUCGGGAAAUGAGUUUACUCUCUGGGUACUUUCUUUGUAUACUUUUGACUAUAUGGGUCGAGUCUGGGAUUUACGGGAAAUCGCGGAUUUUCGUUUGCCGGUGAUUAAACUUCUUUUAUUCAGCGUCCCAUCAAAUAUGAAAAUAUUUUUGAAAACUACAAGUCUCAUGCGUUUAGUGGUAAAAAAAUAAUAUAAAAAAUCGUUCGGGAAAUGAGUUUACUCCCUGGGUACUUUCUUUGUAUACUUUUGACUAUACGGGCCGAGUCCAGGAUUUACGGGAAAUCGCAGGGUUUCGUUUGCCGGCGAUUGAACUUCUUUUAUUCAGCGUCUCAUCAAAAAAGAAAACAUUUUUGAAAACUACAAGUCUCAUGCGUUUUAGUGGUGAAAAAGUAAUUUAAGAAAUCGUUCGGGAAAUGAGUUUACUCCCUGGGUACUUUUUUGGUAUACUUUUGACUAUACGGCCAAGCCCGGGAUUUACCGGAACUCGCGGGUUUUCGUUUGCCGGUGAUUAAACUUCUUUUAUUCAGCGUCUCAUCAAAAAUGAAAACAUUUUUGAAAACUACAAGUCUCAUGCGUUUUAGUGGUGAAAAAAUAAUUUAAAAAAUCGUUCGGGAAAUGAGUUUACUCCCUGGGUACUCUCUUUUUCUAUACUUUUGACUAUACGGGCCGAGUCCGGGAUUUACGGGAAAUCGCGGAUUUUCGUUUGCCGACGAUUAAACUUCUUUUAUUGAGGGUCUCAUCAAAAAUGAAAACAUUUUUGAAAACUACAAGUCUCAUGCGUUUUAGUGGUGAAAAAAUAAUUUAAAAAAUCGUUCGGGAAAAGAGUUUACUCCCUGGGUACUUUCUUUGUAUACUUUUUGCGAAGCAAUUGAGCUUUGCGAGCGAAGCGAGCGAAGCGAAAUUGUGGAGCACGUUUGCUACACGCGAGGUAUACCAAGAGAAUUAUUGAGAUUCUCAAAAUUUCGAUAGAAAAAAAAUCAUAUAAAAUCAUCGUAAAGAAAUAGGACUGAUAUUUUUGCACAUAAAGCUAGGGUAUUUUUUUUUCUAAUAAAACAAAUAAGUUUGGACCGAGGGGUUAAAGUAUAAGUUUAGUAAAAAAUGCAAUAAGUACGGCUCGUACCCCCCCACCCCCGGAUUUUGACCCCCCCCCCCCCGUCUUUUGGUCCGGAUUAUACGUCCGCCGAACUUGAACACACAAAGAGGAAUAUGCCGUGAACAAGAAACGGUAGUCGGCAUUUUAGACACGUAUAUUUUACAGACCCAAAAUAUGCCUUAUUUCUUUGUAUUAUAGCUAAUUAUGGUAUAAAUAAUUAAUUAAUUACUUUGCAAUUUUGCUUCUAAUACUAUUAUAGUUGUAUUUUAAUGAAACAUAAUAGUAUUAAAACAGUUUUCUUCUUUUGAAAAAAUUUAUUGCUAGUCCUGUUUCUAAUUGACUUUACUUGUGUAUUUUAAGCUUUUUUGUUGCUGUGCUUUUUCUGGAGAUUUUAGUUGGAUUGGAAAGCUCCUGUGUAAGGUACCCUUUCCUAAAGAAAAUUGAAGUAAUUUGUACAAUUAUAACGCGCCGAGCUGUGUUUUAUUUUAUUGUUUCUAGGAGGAUGUAAGAAUACAAUAUUAUCAAUUUUAAUUGGUUUUAUCCAAAUCAAGAUUGUGUACAAUGGGAGUGAGUGAUGUAAUCUUCUAAUGCGUGUGGUGAAAAGAAGGCGAAUCCGUUAUUGUUUUUCUGCCCAAAUUUGAAGCUAUUUAAUAAAUCUUGAUAAAGUUAAAAAACUGUUUUGAUUUGUUUGUUUUUGUUUUAAUUGUUUCCCGUGAGUUUUCGAAAUUCGUUCCAGCAGAUUCUGUGGCUUCUACUGCCGGUAUUUUUACGUGAAAAAAAUA